rnacentral:rRNA from 1 species
GAUGAACGCUGGCGGCGUGCCUAAUACAUGCAAGUCGAGCGAACAGACGAGGAGCUUGCUCCUCUGACGUUAGCGGCGGACGGGUGAGUAACACGUGGAUAACCUACCUAUAAGACUGGGAUAACUUCGGGAAACCGGAGCUAAUACCGGAUAAUAUAUUGAACCGCAUGGUUCAAUAGUGAAAGACGGUUUUGCUGUCACUUAUAGAUGGAUCCGCGCCGCAUUAGCUAGUUGGUAAGGUAACGGCUUACCAAGGCGACGAUGCGUAGCCGACCUGAGAGGGUGAACGGCCACACUGGAACUGAGACACGGUCCAGACUCCUACGGGGGGCAGCAGUAGGGAAUCUUCCGCAAUGGGCGAAAGCCUGACGGAGCAACGCCGCGUGAGUGAUGAAGGUCUUCGGAUCGUAAAACUCUGUUAUUAGGGAAGAACAAAUGUGUAAGUAACUAUGCACGUCUUGACGGUACCUAAUCAGAAAGCCACGGCUAACUACGUG